rnacentral:rRNA from 1 species
UACAGAGGUCUCAAGCGUUGUUCGGAUUCAUUGGUCGUAAAGGGUCGUGAUAGGUGGCGCCGUAAGUCGGUGUGAAUUCGGAGGCUUAACUCCGAACUGCAUUCGAUACUGCGGUGCUUGAGGACUGGAGAGGAGACGUGGAAUUCGAUGGUGUAGCAGUGAAAUGCGUAGAGAUCAUGAGGAAGACCAGUGGCGAAGGC